rnacentral:misc_RNA from 1 species
CGCGCUUACAAAAAUUCUGCCUUUCCAUUACAGUACUAUUUAUCUUUACAUUUGUGCCGCAUAAAACCCAUCUUCAUGCUCUUCAUCUUCUUUGCUUUUCUGUUCAUCAUUCUCAUGAUCGGGGCUCAGUAACAACUGUUGCUCUUUUUCUGUGUUAUUGCCACUACUAAGGGAAUUACGAUCUAUUACAAUAGCAUUUCUUUUGUAGUUCCAAACGAGCAUCGAAAUAUAGUCCUGAGGUGAAACCAGACCUUGUUCCCUCAUGCAACAUCGUAGCUCCUCGAGAGUUUUUGUAUCAUCCAAUCUUAUAUAUUCGACCAGUGCCUUCUCAUGAUUUGGUCUCCAGUUACUUGGAAAAGGAGUGUAAUCAGUCUCAGGUACAAGAGACAUCCUGGUAUAUUGAAAACUGACUCAACAAGGCCCAUCCUUAGCAAAUUGUGAUACUCGGGCGAUGAUCCUUUCUUUUCCUUCAAAGGACGACUCAAAUUCCGAGAACCAAUUUUAUACA